AAUAACCCCCUAGUUGCUCUGCUGAAUAACAAGGUGCGUAAUAAAGCAUACACUAUUCGCUCAAAAGAACCCAUUCUCGAAUAAGCUCUUUCAGCCUCUUUUUUACGAAACGAGGCAAACGGUGAAAUGCUGUUUUCGUAGGCUGCGGCAGUUUGGAGGUGAGAAGAGCUAGGCUCAACAUGCUUCUGAUAAUGGUCGCGAAAACGCAUUUGUUCAUAAAGAAGGGUGUUGCUCUUUUCCACCUCCUCCAAUUUACUCUCCAAUAAUGCAAUCUUGUCAUUUGCAGCACUCACUUGGUUUACUAAAGUUACAUUCGCACGUCUGAACCGAUCUCUUUGCUGUUUGAUAACGUCAACAAUGGCAGAACCAGUUUCGUUAACUGAAUUCCUUGACAACACGCUUCCGUUAAAUAAACUAGGAUUGCCACCCAUGAUUGACGAUGUUGGAGAAAGUUGACCGCUAGUUCCUUCACGGCGAUAGGUGGUGUUGGACAAGUAAACACUUCCCUCAACAUCAACAUCGGCAAGGUCUUUCUCUAGUUUUCGAAUUACCUCCUCUUGUUCAGAAGCUUUUUGUUCCAAAAAUGAAGCCUUCUUCGACUCUUGAGUAAUUCUAUCAGUUAACUGGGCAUUUGUGGAGCGUAGCUUGGCCAACUCCUCAGAUAGUUGCUUUUCGCGCUUGAGUAAUUGAGACUCUAGAGAAGUGUUUUCAUGAGUCGCAUGUUCUCCACUAAAUUCAAUUUGUUUUAAAACAGAUAGUUCUCGUUUAAUCUCGUCGUAAUCCGAAAAUUUAUUGGCCAAUGUUAAGCUUUCUUCUUUAACUUUGCGGGCCUCUUUAACUUCAUUUUCCAGCGUUUGAAUGGUGGCACAAUGUGUUUCCAUUUCUUUUCUUGAUGCUUCCUUUAUUGAUUCCAAUUCAGUAGACAAUUUUUUAUUAAGAGAAUCCAUAAAAUCCAAUUGUUGUUU